GGCCCCUUUUGGAUUAGGAUUAGGAUGGUUUAAAUUUGAUUUAAACCAAUCCUUAUUAAGUUGUUGAUUGAUCCCAUCCUAAUUGUUGAAAAUUAUGUCCCAAAGCUAAUCAUUAGCCUAUUGAUGGUUGAACUAAUUAUUAUAAUUAUAUAUAAAUUAUUAAAAUAAUAAAUAUUAUUUAAUUUUCUCAUCACUUUGAAUACAUCUUAUUUGAACUCAUAUUUUAUGAUG
rnacentral:lncRNA from 1 species